AUUGUCAUUAUCCCCAGGCCAUUCAAACAAACAGUACUCUUAUUUUAUUCGGUGCAACAUUUUCUCAACGAGGCUGAUUCAUUUCGAUUGGAAUAAUGCCUCCAUAUAAUAUUGCUAGAAAGCGAAGCAGGUCGCCAGACACUGAUAGUGACAUCAUGGAUCAGCCCCCAAUAAAACGAGCUAAGCUCUUCGGAGAUCUGGAAGUAGAGAAGAGGUCUUUCGAUUCGGUCUUACAAACGAACAAGGCUACCUAUAAAUCGCCGGAUGAAACACCUAACCAAUCCGAGUAAAUAUUUAUUCUACAUGGUAUAAGAAAAAAAUAAUCAUCUUCCUUAGCCUAAUGAUUGAAAGAAGAACAUUGAGAUUAAUAGAUCAUUUAUUGGGCUGGAAGUUGAGUUAACUGAUAUAAAAUGGCACACUCUUUGGAUAAAAAAAUUGAUUAUUAUAUGAAAACUUAUCCUUAAAAUCCUUGAUGGGUGUAAAAAAAUUCGAUUUGGCGUUUGCAGUGUUUAUAGUUGGAAGUUAAUAUCCUUGAUGGACCUCAAGGCAAGCGGUAUAUGUAAGACCGGAGUAAUUUUGAUCCGUCUCAAACUGGCGAUCAAAAAUAUAAUAUUUUUUGGCAUCAAAAUUGAAUUAGUAUAUAUAUAUUGAUACAGUCUUUGGAUAAGAAAAUUAGAUUUGGCAUCUAAACUGGGCUGACGAAUAUCCAAUUAUUCGUUUUCAUAGUUGUAUAUCAUUAUCAUGAAUACCUUGGACCGGAGUGCGUUUUCGACAAGUGCGGAGUGUCCUUCUUGAAGACGGGAGUAUUAGCGACAUGGUCAACUGGCACAUGCCAUUCCCAGCGGCACGCUCCGGGGGCAUCAAUAUUCCCGACGCUGGACGCGCAUGGCCACCUCCGGAGGGGCAUGGCAAUCGCAGGACCACCGAGGCUCCCAAGACACAGAGAUGCACUGGGGGAAAAGACGCCACCGCAGCGGUUCCAGCCCAAUUCAAGAGGUAAAUGACAGUGCUACAAGUUCGGCCCUCAAGUCAUGUUGUUCUUCAGUUCAACUUAUAAAUUGGCAUUUAAAUGGAAA